UGUCAUAUCACAGCAAACAAUUUGUAUGUGUGUUAGUGUGCGUGUGUACUGUGUGUGUCGUGGGGAUAACCACAUGGGGCUUUCUCACGUUCUGUUUACAGCUGUGAAUGGUUCCAGACACUGGGGCCCGCUGACCUUUACAAUACGACCACUGGGAGAUGCUGAAGACUGGCUGAUGUGGAACCAGCGUCAAAAGAGAAUCUUCAGGGAUUCAUGGUUUAUAUGAGGCUUGAGUUUGAAAAACAGGAUUACGCAAAAACUACUUCAGCGAUUUCCAGGACAUUUUGUGGAGGGGUGAUACGUGACCCAGGGAAGAAGACAUUACAUGUUGUG